rnacentral:rRNA from 1 species
AUUGAACGCUGGCGGCAGGCCUAACACAUGCAAGUCGAGCGAGCGGCGGACGGGUGAGUAAUGUAUGGGGACUGCCUGAUGGAGGGGGAUAACUACUGGAAACGGUGGCUAAUACCGCAUACUAUCGGAUAACCCAUAUUGGAUUAGCUAGUAGUUAUGGUAACGGCUCACCUAGGCGACGAUCUCUAGCUGGUCUGAGAGGAUGAUCAGCCACACUGGGACUGAGACACGGCCCAGACUCCUACGGAGGUAGCAUUGGGGAAGAUUGCACAAUGGGCGCAAGCCUGAUGCAGCCAUUCCGCGUGUAUGAAGAAGGCCUUAGGGUUGUAAAGUACUUUCAGCGGGGAGGCGUUACCCGCAGAAGAAGCACCGGCUAACUCCGUGCCAGCAGCCGCGGUAAUAC